rnacentral:rRNA from 1 species
CAGCCGCCGCGGUAAUACGAAGGGUGCAAGCGUUAAUCGGAAUUACUGGGCGUAAAGCGCGCGCAGGUGGUUUAAUAAGUCUGAUGUGAAAGCCCACGGCUCAACCGUGGAGGGUCAUUGGAAACUGUUAAACUUGAGUGCAGGAGAGAAAAGUGGAAUUCCUAGUGUAGCGGUGAAAUGCGUAGAGAUUAGGAGGAACACCAGUGGCGAAGGCGGCUUUUUGGCCUGUAACUGACACUGAGGCGCGAAAGCGUGGGGAGCAAACAGGAUUAGAUACCCCUGUAGUCCCUGUCUCUUAUAC